GUUGCAGGCUGAGAAAGCACCACACAAAAGGUCCCAGGCAGCACAGCUUUUUCAUGUUUGAAGGGUUGUCAGCCCAGCCCCAUCUGCCUCCCAAAGCAUAUUCCCCUCUUCUCUUUACCUUCCCACAGAUGACACUUCGGACAGCUCUUUUCAAAUGAGAAAAUAGAGACUCAGGUCUUAUCCUUGGACAUAUGGUCCACUGCUCUUCAACUGUUGGGCGGGGCUACGGGGCUUGUGACGCCGCCCGCUGAACUUUGUGACGCAGCCGCUUGGGGAGACAGGAAGCGGUCGCAGCGCGCCAGGCCCGCCCUCUUCCGCGGCCGCUGUGGGAAGGGAAACAUCUGCCCCACGUGCAGGAAGCCCGGUGGUGGCCACGACAGCGCGCCACUCUGCAGCGUAACCUCGCAGAUCCUCUGAGUGUGUCCUCGUGAGACUAGCUCACCGAAAUGGCCACGUCCAGUCAAGGAAACUUUGAGGGAGAUUUUGACUCAGUGGACCUUGCAGAAUUUGCUAAGCAGCAGCCAUGGUGGCGUAAGCUGUUCGGGCCAGAAUCUGGACUUUCAGCCGAAAAGUAUAGCGUGGCAACCCAGCUGUUCAUUGGAGGUGUCACUGGAUGGUGCACGGGUUUCAUAUUCCAGAAGGUUGGAAAGUUGGCUGCAACAGCUGUGGGCGGUGGAUUUUUUCUCCUUCAGCUUGCAAACCAUUCUGGGUACAUCAAAGUUGAUUGGCAACGAGUGGAGAAGGACAUGAAGAAAGCCAAAGAGCAGCUGAAGAUCCGUAAGAGCAAUCAGAUACCUACCCAGGUCAGAAGCAAAGCUGAGGAGGUGGUGUCAUUUGUGAAGAAAAAUGUUCUAGUGACUGGGGGAUUUUUCGGAGGCUUUCUGCUUGGCAUGGCAUCCUGAAGAAGAUACCUCAUUUUCAUUGUUCCUGGUUUUUUCCAGCCAUCAGCCUCUACACUCCAUCAUAGGACACUGAGUCCCUCCUUCUCUUCUCCCAUGCCUUCCUCCCUGCUGUGGCAAAUCCAAGUGGCUUCUAUAAGCGUCUCUUGGUACAAGUUAAUGUGGCACCAUGAGCUUGAUUGGCUUCUAUAAGCAUCUGUUGGCACAAGUUAAUGUGGCACCAUGAGCUUGAUGGUGGCAGAAGAGACAAUAGUCCUUAGCUCUUCUUCCAGUACACCCCCUACUUGGUCAGUCUGUAGGUCAGCAAGAAGGUCCCUCUACCCCUAUGCAAGACACUUACAAGAACACAUUGCAAGAUAGCUGACCAUGGAGAAUGAGUGGAUCCUGAAAGGUUGUCCCGAACUGUUGAUAUGGAAAAGAAAUAAGCACAUAGAUAAUCUUAUUGUGUGCUGCAUGGAAAGGAACUGAAUACAAUUGCCUUUAAGCAUUAAAAAAAAAAAGGAUGAAAAAUUGGGGUGUCACAUUUGCAAAAUGGAUGGACAAAUGUGGUCAGGGCAGAUCAAGGUGAGAGAAUAGUGACCCCAGAAAAAAAGGCAAGUAAGAAGAGAGGGAAGGCCUUGAGUCCAAGUGACAAGACCAUCAGGGCAAGAGAGGAUACAGGGGAUUCAGUACCCGGUUCAGAUACUAAAUCUGCAAACAGUGAGCAUCCCUGUUGUUUACAGAAGCACAUGUCCUGGAUGCGGCUCAAAAGCCUAGAGCAAGCUAGAUCUGAGCUGUGCAUACAUAGCCAGGCACAUGUGAGUGGCCCAAUGCCCCAGGGACAAGGUUCUGUUCUUAGCUGGGGAAAAACAGGCACCGGACUAUCUCUGCCGAGGCCUCACCAAAGCGAUCCGUGGAGUGCUAAACCCUAUCUGACCAUAAAGUCCAAAGUCCAGGUGAAGAAACAUGGAAAUGGUCUUCUCUCUUUGUGUUUUGGUGGUAGAGAGGGGCUGAAAGGACAAACAGUAAAAUAAAUAUUUUAAAAGUCGCAAAACAUUAAGGAAAAUUCUGACUCAUUAGGUACAAAUUCAUAAUUAAAACAGCCUAGCCUCACCGCUUCUGCACGUCAUCAAUUGUAAGACGCACAUUUUUUUUUCACAUUUUAAUAUCUCUGAAAUUGGAGUGGUCCUUGCAGUAAUUGUGGCCCCCAGUCCCUCAUAACCUGAGAAUAGUUACAGCAAAACUGUCAUUGUCCACAUGUGCCAACGUGCACAGAGAUACUCCCAUUUUCUUUACUCAUGUACUGAGUUUAGUUGUGUAAGAUGUCUUCAAACAAGAAAAAUGUCAGUAAUUGUUGAAGUUAGAUAAUGGAUUCACAGGGUUUAUUAUUUUAUACUUUCCACUCUUUUAUAUGUUUAAACAUUUCUAAAAUAAAAAGGAAAAAAGGUUUCCAAAACAUAAAAUGAUUCCGCAUUAAAACGAAAUGCUUAUUGUGUUUUCAGAAAGGGAGAAAAAUAGAGCAGUGAGGUGUCAAUGUGAUAUUAGUAAAACAAAUGCUUGACAUUGAAGGAAUGACUGAAAUUUUACAUUUUCUUAGAAAAUAACAAGCAAGCCCUUUUCAGGACCUAAGAAAGCAAGCUGUCUACAAGUGGAUGUAGCAUGUAAUAUUUUGUUACUGAGAUAGAAGGCAGGAGGAAUUGCCUAGGCUUUUGGAAUUUGUUUAAGAAAUUUUGAAACAAUGUAACCAAGUUAUGAGUUAUGGUAGACUACCAUUAUGCUGUUGUCAUAGUUUAAUACAUAGAAUAAUGGUACACCUUCCCUUCUAUAGUGUCUUAGAAUCAAUAAAACAGCAUUUUCAAUGUAGAGUAUUCCCAAUGUUGACUAUCCAAGGCAAAAUUUUAAAAUAUGCAUAUUUACAGAAAGAGAUGAAGAAGUUUUUGUUCACCAAAGUUCCUCUUAGGAAGAAUCCUGCAUUUGUCUAGAAGAAAUGCUUUAAUAAGAGACAGUACAGUGUCGGGGCUGAGAUCAUGAGCUCUGAAACACAGCUGCGUAUGUUUGAAUCCCAACUCUGCUGCUUGUUAGCUGUGUGACAUUAGACAAGUUACUUAACUCUUCUAUACCUCAGCAGAUAAUGAAAGUGGAUCUUUCAGAGGUCGUGUAAAGAUUAAAUGAAAUAAUACUUGCAAAGAAUUAAAACUAGUACCUGGCACAAAGGAAGUUUUCAAUAAGCUGUUAUGCCAUGAAGGAAGUGGAAAGAACAAUCUGUUUACUCCUGGAGAAGAGAUGGUCAGGAGAUGGGUGGAGAAUUCAGAGAGAGGGAUCCCAAGAGACACAAAAACCUUUCCUAAACCAUGAUGUGUGUUUAUUAGGGAAAAUUUGACAUUAAAGGUGAAUACUAAGUAUAACAGGAAAAGCACACGUCACGAAAGUAGAAGGCAGAAGAGGCCCUGGAAAAGCAAGUCCUGGGAAUUCACAGAGUCAACUGAGAAGCUAUGGAUCCUCACAUGCCAUGCGUUUUGGGGCUAAACUAGGUUGCACUGAGUUAAAUGUAUACACCUUCCUCCUUCUCAAAGAUGAUAAAUCGAUCCCAUCUUGGGUGCCAACUGUGAUCAAUUAGAGUGUUAUACUAUGAAGGAUUAGCAAUAUCUGCCCUAGGCAUGGGGGGAUUAAGGCACAACACAUGAAUAACAUUUCAGCCACAUUGGUUUUA